rnacentral:rRNA from 1 species
CCUACGGGAGGCAGCAGUGGGGAAUAUUGCACAAUGGGGGAAACCCUGAUGCAGCGAUGCCGCGUGGAUGAAGAAGUAUUUCGGUAUGUAAAGCCGUAUCAGCAGGGAGGAAAAAUGACGUUACCUGACUAGGAAGCACGGGCUAAAUACGUGCCAGCAGCCGCGGUAAGACGUAUGGUGCAAGCGUUAUCCGGAUUUCCUGGGUUUAACGGGAGCGCAGGCGGCUUGCGAAGCCGGAGGUGAAAACACGCGGCCCAACGGCGGACGUGCAUUGGGAACUGGAGGGCUGGAGUACUGGAGCGGUAGGCGGAAUGUAUGGUGUAGCGGUGAAAUGCGUAGAGAUUAGACAGAACACCAGUUGCGAAGGCGGCUUGCUGGACGGAGACUGACGCUGAGGCUCGAAAGCGUGGGGAGCAAACAGGAUUAGAUACCCUAGUAGUC